GGAGGCAUAGCUCAGUGGUAGGGCACAAGCCCAGCAUGCAUGAGGUCUUGGGUUCAAUUCCCAGUACCUCCA
rnacentral:tRNA from 1 species